rnacentral:lncRNA from 1 species
ACACACUAUCACUGCCAUCCAAAGGUCACCGGAAAGCUCAGGGUGUCAGGUGCUGAUCCUGUUUCUUCGCAAGUCCCCUGCUGGAAUGUCCACAAAAUCUGCUCACUCUCAUGUUAUGAGUGUAUCCAAGCGAUGAAUGUCACCACGCAGGAGGGCUGGGCUUGUUUGUUCUGGAUUCGCUCCUCUGGAACUCAGUACAGAUAUGGUCACAUUCAACGCAGAUCUGGGCCCAGCUUCACUCACCUUGGGUCUUUUACUCUCAUGAACUGUACCAUCCCUAAGGCAUCUCAGUGGGAGUCAAUUGUGGACGGGGGGUCUCAUAAUCCAAAAAGAGGAGGAGAAGAAAGAGGAGGAGGAGGAGGAGCAGAAGGAAGAGGAGAAGCAGAAGGAGGAGGAGGAGGAGCAGAAGGAGGAGGAGGAACAGGAGGAGGAUGAGGAAGAGGAGGAGGGGGGGAGAGAGAGGAUGAAGAGGAAGAGAAGGAGCAGAAGGAGGAGGAGAAAGAGGAUGAAGAGGAGGAGGAGCAGGAGGAGGAGGAGCAGAAGGAGAAAGAGGAGCAGAAGGAGGAGGAGGAAGAGGAGGAGGAGGAAGAGGAGGACGAGAGAUCCAAUACAACAUAACCCUAUGAUAUCAUGACCCGUGAGGUUCAGACCAAGACAGCAAGCACAGCACAAGAAGCAAAAUCUAUCAUUAAAAUAUUUUUCUUUAUAAAUCAAGAUUUAUAUAUAAAAUUUCCACCACAAUAAAGUGCUAUAUAAUCACACUACUUUAAAAUGCUUUUUUACCUCUGCUUCAAUAUUCUCACAAAACUCAGCUGCUUCUAGACCUCUUUCCAGAACAUUUCUACUCCAACUUCUUCCUGUUCCUAAAUCCUGCUUCCUCUAUCUCUUCCCUUCUUUCCCUUGGUGAUUCAUUCUGAAGUUCAGUCUCAGUCCUUCUAUUGUUUUGGGUUAUUUGCCCCCAUUAGCUAUCCAA